UAUAAUUUUUAACUCUUCGUCUUAUUUAAAAAAAUUUUAUGAUUGAUAUUUUUAUUUUUAUUAGAUGAUAAAACAUAAAUAGUAUUUUAUGUAUACUAAUUUUUUUUAAUUUUCUCAAAAUUUUUUAAAUAAGACAGAUGGUCAAACAUUAGACACGGAAACCGA
rnacentral:pre_miRNA from 1 species